rnacentral:rRNA from 1 species
UACGAAGGGGGCUAGCGUUGUUCGGAUUUACUGGGCGUAAAGCGCACGUAGGCGGAUUGUUAAGUCAGGGGUGAAAUCCUGGAGCUCAACUCCAGAACUGCCUUUGAUACUGGCAAUCUUGAGUCCGGAAGAGGUGAGUGGAACUCCUAGUGUAGAGGUGGAAUUCGUAGAUAUUAGGAAGAACACCGGUGGCGAAGGCGGCGAGCUGGUCCAUUACUGACGCUGAGGCGCGACAGCGUGGGGAGCAAACAGG